rnacentral:lncRNA from 1 species
GUGAGAGAAGAUUUUUGUUGUAGUUUUUUUUGUUUUUGAACACCUUGGUAGCAAAACAACAACGUUCAUUCUUUUUUUAAAAAAAGAUUUUUGAGAAAGCACUCAAAGCGUGGUCGGCGAUUUGGAUUCCCAGUUUAAUUGAAAUGGUAGUUUUUCAAUCCUUUGGUGGGAUGUGUUGGGCAUUCUUUUAUUGAGGUCUCCGUUGGUGUGCUGGAAAUUUGGGGCACUUGAAGAUUUUUUUUUUGGAAAACCUCAAAAAAUUAAUUUGAAGUUUGUUAAUGGCCAGGCUGAGAGUUGUUUAAUGGAACCUUUUGCAUGUUAAUGGAGAAAACAAGAAGAAACAAUGUACAAUUUAGAUUGGGUUAAAUGGGUCUAAAAAGGGGACUAAAAUAGCAAGUUUUUGUAUUUAUGUGAAGGAAACAGCUGGUUCUGGUAUAUUUUUUUUGUUAAAUUAAUUACUCACUUUUGUUCUUAUAAACUGUUGAAAUCAAAAUUAAUAUAUGUAUGUCAAAAGGGACUUAAAUUUAUGUUGAGAUUAAAUUCUUUAUAGUUA